rnacentral:miRNA from 1 species
CGCUAUCCAUCUUGAGUUUUA